rnacentral:rRNA from 1 species
AUUCCAGCUCCAAUAGCGUAUAUUAAAGUUGUUGCAGUUAAAAAGCUCGUAGUUGGAUUUGUGGUGUACUUCGGCGGCCCGUCACUAUGUGAUGGAGCUUGCUGAAGUCGCCAUCCUUGGGUGGAUCCUGUGUGGCAUUAAGUUGUCGUGCAGGGGAUGCCCAUCGUUUACUGUGAAAAAAUUAGAGUGUUCAAAGCAGGCUUAUGCCGUUGAAUAUAUUAGCAUGGAAUAAUAAGAUAGGACCUUGGUACUAUUUUGCUGGUUUGCGUGUCGAGAUAAUGAUGAAUAGGGACAGUCGGGGGCAUUUGUAUUCAAACGACAGAGGUGAAAUUCUUGGACCGUUUGAAGACAAACUACUGCGAAAGCAUUUGCCAAGAAUGUUUUCAUCA